UACGGAGGGGGUUAGCGUUGUUCGGAACUACUGGGCGUAAAGCGCGCGUAGGCGGAUUAGAAAGUUGGGGGUGAAAUCCCGGGGCUCAACCUCGGAACUGCCUCCAAAACUGCUAGUCUAGAGUUCGAGAGAGGUGAGUGGAAUUCCGAGUGUAGAGGUGAAAUUCGUAGAUAUUCGGAGGAACACCAGUGGCGAAGGCGGCUCACUGGCUCGAUACUGACGCUGAGGUGCGAAAGUGUGGGGAGCAAACAGC
rnacentral:rRNA from 1 species